rnacentral:misc_RNA from 1 species
AAGCAAGAAGUAAGCAGUGCUGCAUUGGCAGCGAAAUAGAUUUGAGCAGCCUUUUGACCGGAAAAUCAAGACAUCCACCACCACUACCACCGCUGUGCCGCUGCCACCUGCACCAUCAAAAGUUUAUUACACUUUAAAAUAAAUUCAUGGCAGAUCCUCACUUACAAAUAGACCAACAGCCUCGCCCUCCUGUCCAUACCCCUCUUCUUCCUCCAACUCAUAACAACACCAACAACCACCACGA